GUUCAGUACGAGUCAAGCAGUCUUCGGCGUAUCCAGCAAACGCGGUUCUUUUUUAAGCGCGUUUUGUAUUAUUCUACUCAUAUAAUUUAUCAUUUGCGUCGCUAUAUGAUUUCCUCCUUGUUUCCGUAGUACACACAGCCAACUAUCGAGUAUCGAGUAUCCAAUACCGAAUAUCGGUCAGCCGCUGCAAUCCAACACACAGAGUAAAAUCCACAAAAGGAAAGGCAGCCCCACUGCAAGCCCACACAGAAACGACGAGAGAGCCGGGCUUCUGCUGUAGGUGCCAAGCGGAGAUCAUCCAUUCAGACAGUUCUUUUUUUUUGGCAGUCCUUGAUCCCUUUUUUUUUGGUACAUUUUUGUACAUGUGUGUGAGUGAGAGUGGAGUGAGUAAGAGAGAUCUUGCAGCUACAUAAGUGUGUGUGCACGUACGGGAAUGGGUGUGGCCCAGCGACCCAGUUACGAUGGAGCCCUGCCAGAAGUAUUCCUGCUGCUCUUUGGGCUAAAUAGAUAUCUUAUCGCUGCACUUUUUCCAUAUUUUCGUUUUCUGUUUUUGCUCUCGUUUCAGCCACGAUUCGGAGUCUGCUGGCAGCCAAAACAAUUCAUUGAGAAAUACAAACAAAAAGUUAUCUACACACGAUCUUGAUCUCCAUCAGACUUUUCCGCUGUACCACUUACUUUUGUGUUAUCGACUGAGAAAGAGACCAAAAGCAAUUCACCCACAAACCAAAUUCGAUAAUUAAAUAUAUUACAAUAUUAAAUAUAUUCAUAAAUAAUAGCAAAUAAUAAUAAC
rnacentral:lncRNA from 1 species